rnacentral:misc_RNA from 1 species
GAUGAAGAACGUAGCGAAAUGCGAUAAGUAAUGUGAAUUGCAGAAUUCAGUGAAUCAUCGAAUCUUUGAACGCACAUUGCGCCCCCUGGCAUUCCGGGGGGCAUGCCUGUUCGAGCGUCAUUACAACCCUCAAGCUCUGCUUGGUAUUGGGCUCUGCUGGGACCGGCAGGCCUUAAAAUCAGUGGCGGCGCCACUCGGCUUCAAGCGUAGUAAUUCUUCUCGCUUCGGAGACCCGGGUGCGUACUAGCCAGCAACCCCCAACUUUCUUAGGUUGACCUCGGAUCAGGUAGGGAUACCCGCUGAACUUAAGCAUAUCAAUAAGCGGAGGA